CCUACGGGUGGCUGCAGUAGGGAAUCUUCCACAAUGGACGACAGUCUGAUGGAGCAACGCCGCGUGUGUGAUGAAGGGUUUCGGCUCGUAAAACACUGUUGUAAGAGAAGAAUGACAUUGAGAGUAACUGUUCAGUGUGUGACGGUAUCUUACCAGAAAGGAACGGCUAAAUACGUGCCAGCAGCCGCGGUAAUACGUAUGUUCCAAGCGUUAUCCGGGUUUAUUGGGCGUAAAGCGAGCGCAGACGGUUGUUUAAGUCGGAAGAGAAAUCCCACAGCUUAACUGUGGAAGUGCGUUGGAAACUGGAUAACAGGAGUGCAGUAGAGGGGAGUGGAACUCCAUGUGUAGCGGUGAAAUGCGUAGAUAUAUGGAAGAACACCGGUGGCGAAGGCGGCUCUCUGGACUGUAACUGACGUGGAGGCUCGAAAGUGUGGGGAGCAAACAGGAUUAGAUACCCCUGUAGUC
rnacentral:rRNA from 1 species